AAAAAUAAAAAAAAAUUUGCUGGGAAAAUUCCCGUUGGUCGAGUCAAACUCAUUUGGGAUGAUCCCUGGACCCAAAUCAUAUGCAUUCCGUGAAUUAGAUCCUCUCAGAUUCUGAUUCAGCCAUUGAUCCUAAUUCCCCUGCAUCACAUACUCGUAGUCAAUCUCUUCACAUAAACAAGUCUCCUUCAUUCCAUAUUUCAACCUCCCAUGUUAUCCUAGCUGUGAGCACUCCGAAUCCGAAUCAGCUUAAAUCCUCAUAUGGUGUGUCCACGUUUCUAGCUUCCAACCUCCUCUCCCAAACUAAACAGAGUCCUCUCAUGUCCAGCCACCCCCCCUUCGUAGAUCCAAAUCAAAGUCAUCCGGUUCCUUCCAGCUUUUCGUGAGCCAAUCCAACACCCUCCCACAUCCAACCAGAUCCCCAACUUCAUCUCUUCCGAACCAAUCCAGCCGCUUGCAUCCUUAUCCCUUCUUCAAAUCCUAGCAACCGUAUGCUCUCUUCCCAGCAAAUCUAAGCAUCCCAGCUUCAUGGCUUUCGAUCUUCUUCCCAAACUUCAUGGAAACAGAACACGUCACCUCCCAGCUUCUUCAACCUCAUCCGGAGCGUCAACCUCCCGAGUCAACCCCAACGGUUCUCUCCCCUGAUUUCUUCACCCGUUCGAAUCAAGCCGAGUCCCAAGCUUCAUAUUUCGAUCACUCCCUUCCGCAUCCCCUGCUCCGUUAUAUCUCAACUGCCAACCUUCAAAUCCCAAGCCUCCCAGCCAUCCGCCAUGCCCAAUCCUCCUGUGAUGCAUGCAAGAGAUCCCAACAUCCCAGAUUGCAAAACAGAGCCAGCUCAUUCAUUCCAUCUUCCCCAACUUCCGGAUGAGAUCCACUUGUGUCACAGCAUGUAUUCCAUAUUUUCUCUUCCAAAUCCAAACCAGCUUGAUCUCUAGCAUCCACGGAUUAGAACUCCCCUUCCGGAUUAACUCCCAGCCAUCCCCUGCUUCGAAACUAUCAUCCUUAUCUUCUUCCAAACCAAAUCCAACGCCUUCCCAGCAUUCGGAUUGACCCCAGCCACAGGAACAGAACCAGGAUAUUCUCAACAUCCACGCCAUCAUCCGCAUCCAUUCCAGCUCCCCUGUUCCCAACCAAAUCUAGCUUUCCAUCACCCAUGGAUAAGCCCAAGCCAGCCUUCAUCUCAUCCGCGGUCAACUCCCAGCUGCCAGCCGCAUCCAAGAUCUCCUCCCAUGCGUUGAAGAAGUGGCGAUUUCUUCCACUCAUCCCAUGAGCUAGCAGCGUCCGAGAUCCUCUCAACAUCCACAUCUUCGCCAUCCUCUGCAUCCAAGGGAGCAACCGACUUCUUCAACGAAAUCAGUUUCCAGACUAUAAUCCCAACGCCCGGAUUAAAUCUGCUACGCGUCUCGCCCGUGUCAGUUUCUUGGCCCUUAUCUUCCCACGACGUGAUGAGAUAACAGGGGUCGACAAAGGCUAUAAAAGAAGGAGAUUUAUCCUCUUCAGGAAUCAAGCUCGGGCUCAUAGGCCAAAUCCCACAGAAAUAGAGGAGGGAGAGAAGUUUGGGUCUUUUUGGGAA